GCCACUUUAGCUCAGUCGGUAGAGCGACGCUCUCGUAAAGCGUAGGUCACCAGUUCGAUCCUGGUAAGUGGCUCCG
rnacentral:tRNA from 1 species